rnacentral:rRNA from 1 species
AGAGUUUGAUCAUGGCUCAGAUUGAACGCUGGCGGCAUGCCUUACACAUGCAAGUCGAACGCGAAAGGGGGCAACCCCGAGUAGAGUGGCGAACGGGUGAGCAAUACAUCGGAACAUUUCCUGUAGCGGGGGACAACCCCGAGAAAUCGGGGCUAAUACCGCAUACGAUCUACGGAUGAAAGUGGGGGACCGCAAGGCCCCACACUAUAGGAGUGGCCGAUGCCGGAUUAGCUAGUUGGUGGGGUAACGGCCUACCAAGGCGACGAUCCGUAGCUGGUUUGAGAGAACGACCAGCCACACUGGGACUGAGACACGGCCCAGACUCCUACGGGAGGCAGCAGUGGGGAAUUUUGGACAAUGGGCGAAAGCCUGAUCCAGCCAUGCCGCGUGAGUGAAGAAGGCCUUCGGGUUGUAAAGCUCUUUCGGCGGGGACGAAAUAGCGCGGGGUAAUAUCCCGCGUCGAUGACGGUACCCGAAGAAGAAGGACCGGCUAACUACGUGCCAGCAGCCGCGGUAAUACGUAGGGUCCAAGCGUUAAUCGGAAUUACUGGGCGUAAAGCGUGCGUAGGCGGUUUCGCAAGUCCGAUGUGAAAUCCCCGGGCUUAACCUGGGAACUGCGUUGGAAACUACGAAGCUAGAGUGCGGCAGAGGGGGGUGGAAUUCCAGGUGUAGCAGUGAAAUGCGUAGAGAUCUGGAGGAACACCGAUGGCGAAGGCAGCCCCCUGGGCUAGCACUGACGCUCAUACACGAAAGCGUGGGGAGCAAACAGGAUUAGAUACCCUAGUAGUCC